rnacentral:misc_RNA from 1 species
AAGGAUCAUUAUCGAGUUAGGGUCUCCGGCCCGACCUCCAACCCUGUGUCUACUUAACCACGUUGCUUCGGCGGGCCCGCCCCUCUCGGGGGGCCGCCGGUGGCCUACACACAAACUCUGAUUACAAACCGUGUCGUCUGAGUUCAAACAAAAAUUAAAACAAAAACUUUCAACAACGGAUCUCUUGGUUCUG